rnacentral:rRNA from 1 species
UACGUAGGGUGCGAGCGUUGCUCGGAAUUACUGGGCGUAAAGAGUGUGUAGGCGGUGCUCCCAGUCUGUUGUGAAAUCUCCCGGCUUAACUGGGAGGGUGCAGCGGAAACUAGAAUGCUAGAGGGUGGGAGAGGUAAGCGGAAUUCCUGGUGUAGCGGUGAAAUGCGUAGAUAUCAGGAGGAACACCUGUGGUGUAGACAGCUUACUGGACCACUUCUGACGCUGAGACACGAAAGCGUGGGUAGCAAACAGG